rnacentral:rRNA from 1 species
CCUACGGGAGGCAGCAGUGGGGAAUAUUGGGCAAUGGGCGCAAGCCUGAACCAGCCACGCCGCGUGAAGGAAGAAGGCUUUCGGGUUGUAAACUUCUUUUGUCAGGGACGAAGCAAGUGACGGUACCUGACGAAUAAGCCACGGCUAACUACGUGCCAGCAGCCGCGGUAAUACGUCGGGUGCAAGCGUUAUCCGGAUUUACUGGGUGUAAAGGGCGUGUAGGCGGGACUGCAAGUCAGAUGUGAAAACCACGGGCUCAACCUGUGGCCUGCAUUUGAAACUGUAGUUCUUGAGUACUGGGGAGGCAGACGGAAUUCCUAGUGUAGCGGUGAAAUGCGUAGAUAUUAGGAGGAACACCAGUGGCGAAGGCAGUCUGCGGGACAGCAACUGACGCUGAGGCGCGAAAGCGUGGGGAGCAAACAGGAUUAGAUACCCGUGUAGUC